UACGUAGGGUGCGAGCGUUAAUCGGAAUUACUGGGCGUAAAGCGUGCGCAGGCGGUUCGUUAUGUCCGAUGUGAAAGCCCCGAGCUCAACUUGGGAAUGGCAUUGGAAACUGGCGGGCUGGAGUGUGGCAGGAGGGGGUGGGAAUUCCACGUGUAGCAGUGAAAUGCGUAGAGAUGUGGAGGAACACCGAUGGCGGAAGGCAGCCCCCUGGGCCAACACUGACGCUCAGGCACGAAAGCGUGGGGAGCAAACAGG
rnacentral:rRNA from 1 species